AUGACGUGGCUGUAUCUGUCAGACUUUUUAGGAUCCAGCGCUCCUCACAGAUGUGGCCUGCACCCCAGAAGGACCGCAGGGGACAGGAGAUACAGAAGUUUGUUUUCUGUUGCUCUGAUCAACACCAUGACCACAAAGCACCCUGGAGAAGAAACUGUCCAUCCUGAAACUGUAGAGGACCACUGCUUCCUCUGCGCCUGCUCAGCUAUCAGGACUGCCUCACAGACAUAUCCACAGGCUGAUCCGAUGGAGGCACAGAGAUGCUCACAGGCCAAUCCGAUGGAGGCACAGAGACGCUCACAGGCCAAUCCGAUGGAGGCACAGAGACGCUCACAGGCCAAUCCGAUGGAGGCACAGAGACGCUCACAGGCCAAUCCGAUGGAGGCACAGAGACGCUCACAGGCCAAUCCGAUGGAGGCACAGAGACGUUCACAGGCCAAUCCGAUGGAGGCACAGAGACGCUCACAGGCCAAUCCGAUGAAGGCACAGAGAUGCUCACAGGCCAACCUGAUGGAGACAAGACUCCGUUGAGGUUCCCUCUUCCCAGAUGUCUCUAGCUUGUGUCAAGCUGACAAAAACUAAGCAGCGCACCUCCUUUCCCUCUCUGCAGCUGACCUCCAAGCUGGCUUGACUCAAAGGCUUUCUAAAUCCUCGCUCCUCUUCUUCAUUCUCCUCAGGAUGGGUGUUGCACUGGAGGCUAUCCAAACAUGAUCGAAAUAACCAUUUUAAAACCUGGGACCGGGACUGGUGAAAUGGCGUAGGGAUUAAGAGCACUGUAUAUGCUUUCAGAGGUCCUGAGUUCAAAGCCCACCAAUCACAUGAUGACUCAAAGCCAUCUAUCUAUACUGGGAUCUGCCUCCCUCUUUUGGCAUGCAGGUGUAAUGCAGAUAGAGUACUCAAAUACACGUAAAAUAAAUAGAUCGAAGAAAGAGGAGGAGGAGGAGGAGGAGGAAGACAGAACUGCAGUUUUGAUGGCUCAGCAUUCCCUCUGCUUCAGACCUGUGCUUAGCUGCUGGCUUGUAGACAUACAGUUGCUUCCACGGUACUACUGCAUGACGGCCCCUGGUCACUUAAAUGCAGUUGUCUAAAGCCCCACGAGCAUCGUCCUCAAACCAGUCCCUGUCCAGUCUCCAGGCAACAGAGCUGGAAGUUAUCCUCAGCUGACCGCACGCCCUCAUUCCUUGAAGAAAGAACCAGCUGGACAUCUUGUUUGCUUCUCUGCUGCUGUGAUAAAAUACCUUAAUAAAAGCAAUGCUGAUGUGCAGGGACCUGCUCUGCUCACA